GUGCCCUGGCUCCGCCCCCUCCCGUAACCCUCCCUGUUGUGCCCGAUCCUAGCACUCCUGGGCUACACCGCUUCUCUUUCUGAACCCAGGACCCACCCCUCCCAUGAUCCCGACCCCGACCCCGGACACCCACGGCUGAAGAGCCUGGCCACAGGCCUCCUCUUCCUGUAGCCAGGCUCAACCCCCUCUGUCGACUUCCCCUGUUGUGCCCAAUCCUGGUGCUGCCAGGCUAUGCCCCUCCUCUUCAUCAACCCAGGCCCGCCCCCUGCAUGCCCCUCCCAUGGCCCAGCCCCAGGAUGCCCUUAGCUGAGGAGCCUGGCCACGCCCCUUCUCCUGUAGCCAGGCUCCGCCCCCUCCCACGACCUUACCAGUUGCACACCCUGCUCUCUGAAUCUUUCCCACCUCCUGACUAAAGCACUGCAGUCAGCCAUGCUUUAUGUCCAGCAGAGACCCUUCUAGAGGGGUCGCCACAGAGCGCUGCUUCAUCUCUCUCCUCAGCAGGCGAGGAGCCUCCUACUAUGACCUUGGCCGCCUCCCCUGGGCAGGUUGAGGUGUGAGCACCUGCGGGCCUCACCAACCCCAGGCCUCACCUUCCCGCCAAGCCUGCCCCAGGCGUCCCUCAUGCUGAGCAGCGUGAGUGUGAGGGGCAGCAGCUGUCUGCUCAGAGCUCUGUCAUUGGAAGUCAAGCUUCAGGACAUUCUGUUGCAUGGAAGGAGGGUAGAGCAGCCAAGGGUGUUGGAAGCCCAUGGACACUUUGAACUCUACACCAACUGUCUCAUCUUCACCUUGACCUGGUCAUGGAGCCUCUGAGCCAAGGCCACUCAAGAGGGUGUACUAUCACAGAGGGAGGUGAAUUUAU
rnacentral:lncRNA from 1 species